CUACGGGGGGCAGCAGUGGGGAAUUUUGGACAAUGGGGGCAACCCUGAUCCAGCCAUGCCGCGUGAGUGAAGAAGGCCUUCGGGUUGUAAAGCUCUUUCAGCCGGGAAGAAAUCACAUGGGUUAAUACCCUGUGUGGAUGACGGUACCGGAAUAAGAAGCACCGGCUAACUACGUGCCAGCAGCCGCGGUAAUACGUAGGGUGCGAGCGUUAAUCGGAAUUACUGGGCGUAAAGCGUGCGCAGGCGGUUUGUUAAGAUAGGCGUGAAAUCCCCGGGCUCAACCUGGGAACUGCGUUUAUGACUGGCAGGCUAGAGUAUGGCAGAGGGGGGUGGAAUUCCACGUGUAGCAGUGAAAUGCGUAGAGAUGUGGAGGAACACCGAUGGCGAAGGCAGCCCCCUGGGCCAAUACUGACGCUCAUGCACGAAAGCGUGGGUAGCAAACAGGAUUAGAUACCCUGGUAGUCCACGCCCUAAACGAUGUCAACUAGGUGUUGGGUGGGUAAAACCAUUUAGUACCGGAGCUAACGCGUGAAGUUGACCGCCUGGGGAGUACGGCCGCAAGGUUAAAACUCAAAGGAAUUGACGGGGACCCGCACAAGCGGUGGAUGAUGUGGAU
rnacentral:rRNA from 1 species